rnacentral:rRNA from 1 species
AUGUGCUUGGCCAUUCGCCAUGGCCGCCGCAUGCCCCGAGCGGUGACCAACCUCUCCUUGCCGAAUGCUAGCAUCAUUGGCAAGCUUGGUGAGCUCAACUUCUCGGCUCUUCCAUUCCUCACAUACAUCAACCUUACUAACAACAGCCUCCAUGGUGCAAUACCCGCUAGCAUCGGCUCCCUGUCAUCACUAUCCUAUCUUGACCUCGGCCUCAACAAUCUCAAAGGACAAAUUCCGUCUGAGAUUGGUUGCCUGCAAAGUCUCACUCAGCUUGGUCUCGCACAUAACAGACUCACUGGACAUAUUCCUGCGUCUCUAGGUAACCUAACAAUGUUAACUGUACUUAUCAUCCACCAAAACAUGGUAUCAGGUCCCAUUCCUGAGGAGAUUGGAAGGCUUGUCAACCUACAAUUUCUACAGCUAAGCAACAACACAUUAAGCGGUCUGAUACCAAAAACUCUUGGAAAUCUGACCCAACUAAAUACUUUGCGCCUGUAUGGUAAUCUACUUUCAGGGCCUAUACCCCAGGAGCUAGGCCAGCUAAUCCAUUUGCAAGAUCUUGAACUUGUUUCAAAUCAUAUUUCAGGUCCAAUUCCAAUCUCCAUAACCAAUCUCACUGAGAUGAGAAGACUUUCUCUCUCUAGAAAUCAAAUCACAGGUCCAAUACCCCCUGAACUAGGCAACCUUGCUAGGCUAAACCAUCUUGAUCUCUCCCAAAAUCAAAUCACAGGUUCAAUACCCCUAGAAUUAGGCAACCUCACUAUGCUCAAUGAACUUUCUCUCUAUACAAAUCAAAUCACAGGCCCAAUACCUUUAGAAUUGGGCUACUUGCUGAAUCUCCAGUAUUUAAUUUUGUCCUAUAACCAAAUAUCUGGCCCUAUUCCUGGCAGCUUGGGAAAUGUAACCAGGCUAGUACAACUACACCUCCAUCAAAAUCGGCUAACCGGCUCCAUUCCCCAAGAAAUUGGCAAUCUGGUGAACCUCGAACAUUUAAUGUUGUAUCAGAACAGAAUUUCGGGGUCAAUACCAGAAACUUUUGGGAAGUUGCAAAGUGUCCAAAAAAUGCAUAUCUACGAUAAUAAUUUAUCAGGUUCUCUUCCUCGGGAAUUUGGAGAUCUCAUCGGCCUUGUUGAACUUGGGCUUUAUAACAACUCGCUUUCAGGACCCUUACCCGCAAAUAUAUGUUCAGGUGGCAGACUUUGA